ACUCUCGGCAACGGAUAUCUUGGCUCUCGCAUCGAUGAAGAACGUAGCAAAAUGCGAUAGCUGGUGUGAAUUGCAGAAUCCCGUGAACCAUCGAGUCUUUGAACGCAAGUUGCGCCUGAAGCCGCCAGGCCAAGGGCACGCCUGCCUGGGUGUCA
rnacentral:rRNA from 3 species